UAAAGCUAAUAAGAGCGCAGGGCGAAUGCCUUGGCAUUGGGAGCCGAUGAAGGACGUGAUUAACUGCGAUAAGCUACGGGGAGCGGUAAGUACGCUUUGAUCCGUAGAUUUCCGAAUGGAGCAAUCCAUACAAGUGUAGCUUGUAUAUCAUAUACUGAAUAAAAUAGGUAUAUGAGGGGAACCGCCUGAACUGAAACAUCUAAGUAGGGCGAGGAAGAGAAAUCAACCGAGAUUUUCUGAGUAGUGGCGAGCGAAAGGGAAAGAGGCCAAACCAGAGAGAGCAAUCUUUCUGGGGUUUAGGACUGCAAAAAGCAUUGAAGAUCUUUAACCGAACACAAUGGGAAGUGUGAUCAGAGAGCGUGAGAAUCGCGUAGGUGAAAAAGAGAAUCAGCCGGCAGGAUCCAGAGUACCGCGGGACACGUGAAACCCCGUGGGAAGAAGGGGGGACCACCCUCCAAGCCUAAAUACUACCCAAUGACCGAUAGAGAAUAAGUACUGUGAAGGAAAGGUGAAAAGCACCCCGGGAGGGGAGUGAAAGAGAACCUGAAACCCUGUGCUUACAAGCACAUAGAGCACGUCAAAGUGUGAUAAGGUACCUAUUGUAGAAUGGUCCGGCGAGUUAUUGUAUGCAGCGAGGUUAAGUAGUUCAGCUACGGAGUCGAAGUGAGAGCGAGUGUUAACAGCACGUUCAGUUGCAUGCAAUAGACCCGAAACCGGGUGACCUAUCCAUGUCCAGGAUGAAGUGAGGGUAAAACCUCAUGGAGGUCCGAACCCACUCCCGUUGAAAUGGUAGGGGAUGAGGUGUGGAUAGCGGAGAAAUUCCAAUCGAACCCGGAUAUAGCUGGUUCUCCCCGAAAUAGUUUUAGGACUAGCCUCGUGAUCAAGAUUAUCGGAGGUAAAGCACUGAAUGGCCUAGGGGUCGAGAGAUUACCGAAGCCUAUCAAACUCUGAAUGCCGAAUAAUCAUGCACGGGAGUCAGACUAUGUGAGAUAAGUUUCAUAGUCGAAAGGGAAACAGCCCAGACCUACAGCUAAGGUCCCAAAGUACGUUUAAGUGGAAAACGAUGUGAAAUUGCGUAGACAACCAGGAUGUUGGCUUAGAAGCAGCCAUACAUUAAAAGAGUGCGUAAUAGCUCACUGGUCGAGUGACUUUGCGCGGAAAAUUUAACGGGGCUAAAACGUACACCGAAGCUUAGGCUUGCAACUAUGUUGCAGGGGUAGGGGAGCGUUGAAUGAGGGGUGAAGUCGUAGCGAAAGCGACGGUGGACUUCAUUCAAGUGAGAAUGCCGGAAUGAGUAGCGAGAAUUAUGUGAGAAUCAUAAUGGCCGAAAGCCUAAGGUUUUUGGAGGAAGGUUCGUCCGCUCCAAGUAAGUCGGAAGCUAAGGUGAGGCUGAAAAGCGUAGCCGAUGCACAAACGGUUGAAAUUCCGUUACCACAGAAAGAUUUAAACUAAGGGACACUUUUGAAGAGCUGAUGCCGGGUGUUGGUUACCCCGGUCGUAAGGGAACGAAAUUAAGUAGUGAAGUCAGCGUGGAUGAAGGCGAGAAAAGCUUAGUGUAUAUCUUAUGUGUCCGUACCGCAAACCGACACAGGUAGGUAGGAAGAGAAUUCUAAGGCCAACGGGAGAAGGGUAGUUAAGGAACUCGGCAAAAUGUCCCCGUAACUUCGGAAUAAGGGGAGGUUUCUACGGAAACCCGCAGAGAAUAGUCCCAGGCAACUGUUUAUCAAAAACACAGCUCUAUGCUAAAUCGAAAGAUGACGUAUAUGGGGUGACGCCUGCCCGGUGCCGGAAGGUUAAGAGGAGGAGUGAGAGCCCUGAAUCGAAGCCCCGGUAAACGGCGGCCGUAACUAUAACGGUCCUAAGGUAGCGAAAUUCCUUGUCAGGUAAGUUCUGACCCGC
rnacentral:rRNA from 1 species